rnacentral:rRNA from 1 species
AGAGUUUGAUCCUGGCUCAGAACGAACGCUGGCGGCGUGCUUAACACAUGCAAGUCGUACGAGAAAUCCUGGGCAACUGGGAAAGUAAAGUGGCGCACGGGUGAGUAACGCGUGGGUAACCUAACCUUCAAUUGGGGAUAACUCUUCGAAAGGAGAGUUAAUACCGAAUAAUAUGCUCAUUCCUUAGGGAGUUUGUAUCAAAGGUGGCCUCUGCAUGCAAGCUACCGUUGAAGGAUGGGCCCGCGUACCAUUAGCUUGUUGGUGGGGUAAUGGCCUACCAAGGCAACGAUGGUUAGCUGGUCUGAGAGGAUGGCCAGCCACACUGGAGCUGAGACACGGUCCAGACUCCUACGGGAGGCAGCAGUGGGGAAUCUUGCGCAAUGGGGGAAACCCUGACGCAGCAACGCCGCGUGGGUGAUGAAGGCCUUCGGGUCGUAAAGCCCUGUCAGGUGGGAAGAAACAUGCCGAUACGAAUAAUAUCGGCACUUGACGGUACCACCGAAGGAAGCACCGGCUAACUCCGUGCCAGCAGCCGCGGUAAUACGGAGGGUGCAAGCGUUGUUCGGAAUUAUUGGGCGUAAAGCGCGUGUAGGCGGUUGGGUAAGUCAGAUGUGAAAGCCUUUCGCUUAACGGAAGAAGUGCAUUUGAAACUACCCAGCUAGAGUACGGGAGAGGAGAGUGGAAUUCCCGGUGUAGAGGUGAAAUUCGUAGAUAUCGGGAGGAACACCAGUGGCGAAGGCGGCUCUCUGGUCCGAUACUGACGCUAAGACGCGAAGCGUGGGGAGCAAACAGGAUUAGAUACCCUGGUAGUC